GACGAACGCUGGCGGCGUGCUUAACACAUGCAAGUCGAACGGAAAGGCCCUGCUUUUGUGGGGUGCUCGAGUGGCGAACGGGUGAGUAACACGUGAGUAACCUGCCCUUGACUUUGGGAUAACUUCAGGAAACUGGGGCUAAUACCGGAUAGGAGCUCCUGCUGCAUGGUGGGGGUUGGAAAGUUUCGGCGGUUGGGGAUGGACUCGCGGCUUAUCAGCUUGUUGGUGGGGUAGUGGCUUACCAAGGCUUUGACGGGUAGCCGGCCUGAGAGGGUGACCGGCCACAUUGGGACUGAGAUACGGCCCAGACUCCUACGGGAGGCAGCAGUGGGGAAUAUUGCACAAUGGGCGGAAGCCUGAUGCAGCAACGCCGCGUGCGGGAUGACGGCCUUCGGGUUGUAAACCGCUUUCGCCUGUGACGAGGAGUGAGUGACGGUAAUGGGUAAAGAAGCACCGGCUAACUACGUG
rnacentral:rRNA from 1 species